GAUCAUGCCUCAGGAUGAACGCUAGCUACAGGCUUAACACAUGCAAGUCGAGGGGCAGCAUGGUCUUAGCUUGCUAAGGCCGAUGGCGACCGGCGCACGGGUGAGUAACGCGUAUCCAACCUGCCUUACACCCUUGGACAGCCUUCUGAAAGGGAGAUUAAUACAAGAUGUUAUCAUGGGUAAGCAUUUUCACAUGAUUAAAGGUUUACCGGUGUAAGAUGGGGAUGCGUUCCAUUAG
rnacentral:rRNA from 1 species